rnacentral:pre_miRNA from 7 species
UUUUGGUUAAUACUGAAAGACCCCCGAAGGGAGACCCUCACUCAAGCCUCGGGACAGCCGCGGACCCAAGAAGACACUGAGACCG